rnacentral:rRNA from 5 species
CAGGUUUACCUGUGUGACUGCGUACCUUUUGUAUAAUGGGUCAGCGACUUAUAUUCUGUAGCAAGGUUAACCGCAUAGGGGAGCCGGAGGGAAACCGAGUCUUAAUUGGGCGUUAAGUUGCAGGGUAUAGACCCGAAACCCGGUGAUCUAGCCAUGGGCAGGUUGAAGGUUGGGUAACACUAACUGGAGGACCGAACCGACUAAUGUUGAAAAAUUAGCGGAUGACCUGUGGCUGGGGGUGAAAGGCCAAUCAAACCGGGAGAUAGCUGGUUCUCCCCGAAAGCUAUUUAGGUAGCGCCUCGUGAAUUCAUCUCCGGGGGUAGAGCACUGUUUCGGCUAGGGGGCCAUCCCGGCUUACCAACCCGAUGCAAACUGCGAAUACCGGAGAAUGUUAUCACGGGAGACACACGGCGGGUGCUAACGUCCGUCGUGAAGAGGGAAACAACCCAGACCGCCAGCUAAGGUCCCAAAGUCAUGGUUAAGUGGGAAACGAUGUGGGAAGGCCCAGACAGCCAGGAUGUUGGCUUAGAAGCAGCCAUCAUUUAAAGAAAGCGUAAUAGCUCACUGGUCGAGUCGGCCUGCGCGGAAGAUGUAACGGGGCUAAACCAU